GCCUGGGUGGCUCAGUCGGUUGAGCAUCUGACUUCAGCUCAGGUCAUGAUCUCAUAGUCCGUGGGUUCCAGCCCCACGUCGGGGCU
rnacentral:tRNA from 1 species